UGUGCUGUAGCUCAGUGACAGAACAUCUGUUUUGCAUGGAGAAGGGCUUGGGUUCAAUCCCUUACAUUCCCAGGUAGUGCAA